rnacentral:rRNA from 1 species
UCGGGAAUUUUGGGCAAUGGGGGAAACCCUGACCCAGCAACGCCGCGUGAAGGAUGAAGUAUUUCGGUAUGUAAACUUCGAAAGAAUAGGAAGAAUAAAUGACGGUACUAUUUAUAAGGUCCGGCUAACUACGUGCCAGCAGCCGCGGUAAUACGUAGGGACCAAGCGUUGUUCGGAUUUACUGGGCGUAAAGGGCGCGUAGGCGGCAUGACAAGUCACUUGUGAAAUCUCUGGGGCUUAACCCAGAACGGCCAAGUGAUACUGUCGCGCUAGAGUGCAGAAGGGGCAAUCGGAAUUCUUGGUGUAGCGGUGAAAUGCGUAGAUAUCAAGAGGAACACCUGAGGUGAAGACGGGUUGCUGGGCUGACACUGACGCUGAGGCGCGAAAGCCAGGGGAGCAAACGGGAUUAGAUACCCCUGUAGUCCCUGAGCGGGCUGGCAAGGCGCAU